rnacentral:rRNA from 1 species
AUGACCACGACUUACUUUGUCCGUGUCAACAAACAAUUCGAAAUACCUCGACUUUUUCAGAACAGGUCCGAGUCAAAUAGCAAUGAUUCGAAGCACUUCUUUUUACAUUACACUAUUUCAGAAACCUAA